CCUACGGGAGGCAGCAGUGGGGAAUAUUGGACAAUGGGGGGAACCCUGAUCCAGCCAUGCCGCGUGUGUGAAGAAGGCCCUCGGGUUGUAAAGCACUUUCAGUGAGGAAGAACGCCUGGUGGUUAAUACCCAUCAGGAAAGACAUCACUCACAGAAGAAGCACCGGCUAACUCCGUGCCAGCAGCCGCGGUAAUACGGAGGGUGCGAGCGUUAAUCGGAAUUACUGGGCGUAAAGCGCGCGUAGGUGGCUUGAUAAGCCGGUUGUGAAAGCCCCGGGCUCAACCUGGGAACGGCAUCCGGAACUGUCAAGCUAGAGUGCAGGAGAGGAAGGUAGAAUUCCCGGUGUAGCGGUGAAAUGCGUAGAGAUCGGGAGGGAUACCAGUGGCGAAGGCGGCCUUCUGGACUGACACUGACACUGAGGUGCGAAAGCGUGGGUAGCAAACAGGAUUAGAUACCCCGGUAGUC
rnacentral:rRNA from 1 species